GUGGCUGUUGGCCACCACCACAGCUGAGAGUACAUACGCUCUUGCUGUCAGAGAAAACGCUAUGUUAGCAGUCACUGACUUGCACGCAGGUUUCGAGCUGUGUGUUAACACUGGCUCUAUUUAGAGGCAGGUACUUCAGCUUAGUCAGCCACAUGGGGUUGCCACCACCCAGUGAAAAUGGCCCUAGACAGAACCAACAGACACGAGUAUGUCUGAAUGAAACAUCAAUUUCAGAAACAGAGUCUGGAUUUAGCCCGUAGUUUUCUGACCCCUGCUGCAAAAUGACAAAUACUGAGUGGUGAACCAGAGGUCUACUUUCUGUGUUCUCAGACCUGGCCAUUUCAUUCCUUGCUCACAAACAGGAGAGCAAGGUAAUGUACGUCUGCUGUUGUGGUCAUCUGCAAGGUGCUUUUCUACUGUUUGGCAAACCAUCUCUACUUCCAAGUCUAUAUAACUCUGCAAGCUACAUAUACACAUGUCUUUACAGAUUGGCUAUUCUUAGGAAGAGCUUGGAAAUUCCUAGGAUUGUGAUGGCAAAUUCAACUUGCAGUCAUAUAUACAAACAACAGAAAUGGAUUCUCAACAAGAAAAGACUAAAAGGGAGAAAGUUUAUAGUCCUUUUAACCCUUCCUCCCUUCCCUUGGCUCUACACGCUGCUCUCAACAAACGCCACUCCAUGCCUGGAGAGCAUUCACAACCUCACCCACCAGAGAGCCGGGUGGUGUCAGCACCAGCCAGUGUGAGCAUGACUGCACAUGGAAGCCAGGCAGGGGGCUAUGGAGAUCCCAGCUGUGACACUCUGGGCAAGUGACGACUUCUCUGUCCCUCGCUUUCCUCAGCUAUCAAGUGUGGUGAUAAUACACCUACUUCAUGUGGUUGAAACAAGUACAUGUGGGAAAAGCACUUGGCAUACAGCUCUGGACACAGACCUGUGGAAAGGGUAGCUACAGGGAACACCAUCUGAACAGCCUCUGCCUCGCCAUCAGCCCAUGACAGCCUUAACUACGGGAAGCCAUAUCAUUUAAAAACAACCAGAGCCAAGGUACCUGGUUUGUCUUAGUUACUCAAGCCUGAGUCCAUGGCUUGAGGUCACCAUGGGCAGCAGGGCAGCAUCCCAUUUCAACACAAGCAAAAGUAAACCAAAAUACUGGGAAAGAACACUCCACAAACAUCAAAUACACAAUACUAGUGGGCAGCACAAAGUGGCCUCAUUUCUCGAUUCUCGAUCUCUCUGUUCAUCUGUUGAAAAGGGUUGAAGCAAACAUGAGCCAAGGUCCUCCCCACUCUGAGGAAUGCUGAGACUGGAAAUUACCUCAGAUUCUAGGGUGUGGGCUCAACACGGUUUCAUUUAUUUGUAUAAUAUAGCACACUGCCCUAACUAUAUGUCUAGCCUAUUUGUAUUUGAAUAUUGUUGGUAUUAAGCAGUUACGCCUGGUCUUGCAGUUUUCUUCAUGACAAGUCUCAGUGUUGUAAGGCAAGAAGAUAGAGACGUGCUUCCCAACAUCAAAUCCAUUAAAUGUCUACUCCUUCAGCACCAGACGAAUCAGACUCUCGUAUCCAUCAGACAGGAUUUCUGACCUCACUCACAAGUCAUUCACGGUCAGCAUGGAAUGGCUGAGUUCACAUUCAAACGUGAAAAGCAAUGUGUAAACAGAAUUCCCUUGCAACAAUCAUCAGAACGAGACAGAUUCCACUCCUGAACUCAGUAAGAUAAUCCUUACGUUAACAGAAUGAGCCUGCAGUCAUAAUAGAAGCCUUUGUAAAAGCCACCACGGGAGAGGCUCGGGCACUGCCUAGUGAAAGUCUUCUCAUUAGUCAGAUAACCCUGAAAAGCAAGUUAGGCCUCUCCUCCUACACUGGAGUGAAGCAAGGGACAGAGGUGGCACCAUCUCCAGACUAAAUACAGCCCUUUAAUCCCAUGUGAUAAGUCAUGCUGAAAUAUUUAUAAUACUUCAGUAUAAUAAAAUCCAAGACCAACCUUUCAGUUUCCUGAAUAGUGGAUGGAAACUAAUGUUUUAAUGUCUUUUAACAAAAAACAACAACAACAAAAAAAAAUACAAAGCAAGUCUGAGUGAGUUCAAGUGGGAAACUGUUUAUGGUGGCAUGGAGCAUGGAGUCCUCUUCCCAGGUGGCUUUCUGCACUGGCCUCCCUCUUCUCUAACCCCAGCCCCCAGCAGUUAGGACAAGAAUGACCUUCUAUGAGCACCCAAGUGGGCUGUGCAGCACCCAGUGCGAUCAGUAAACGGCUCUCUGAGGGCAGCCCUGUCCUCCACUUAUGAAACACAUGCAAACCAGAGGUUUGACGUAAGCCAGUUCUGGGAGGUGACUGUUCUGUUUCAAGUGCUUGGCCUGUACCGGCAUGUGACAAACACUGUGGUAGCCCUGUGGUCUAGCCUUCACCCACUAUCUGCACUUCACAGACGAGGAAAAAACUUGCACAAGGCCCCACAGGUCAUUAUCAGGAAGUCCAACUCUCUACCCUCACCACCAACCCAAAGUACACAGCAUAGCCAUCAUCUGGGAAACCUCCUCCUUCAGCGUGUGGGAACUAACAGAGAGACCCACAACUGAUAGAAGUACAGAGAGAGAAAGACCAGCCUUGAACACUCAGUCCUAAAUGGAACAUCUCCAUAAAGCCCCUCCCCUCAGGGCUUUACCAGAAGAGAAGGCAGAGACUGUGCGAGUGGGAAGAGAGGACACCGAAAAGGCAGUGCUUUCCAGAUACAACCGGUCUAAUACACAGAUGAACUCUCAGAGACCCAGGCAGCAGGCACAGGGUCUAAUACACAGAUGAACUCUCAGAGACCCAGGCAGCAGGCACAAGGCUUGCACAGUCGAAGCCAGACGGGGUCCUAGGGCUGAGAGGGAAAGUAGAUACCAGCUCCCAUCCAUAACCCAGACGGUUUUUCUAAUGACGUCUCACUGGUCAUACCAACCACCCUUUAGCAAGAGCCUUCUGUAAGCAGUGAAAGGCCAACACAAAACAAACUCACUGGUAUUUUAACAGAUUUGGGAGUUUGGAAAAGGGGGUGGGUAUUUGUUUUGUUUUGUUUUUGUCUCACAAUCCUUUGUCUGGGCAUUUUGUACCUCACCUGUCUUGAGUCUCUAUUAUGAUUUCUGAUACAGUUUUUAUGGGUUUUGUCCCUAUGAACAUAAUGUGUUUCUCCUGCCUUUGGUUUCCUUUUCUGCUUGUCUGUUUUGUUGUAUUCUGGUUUAUUUGUCUGUUUAUAUUCUAGAGAGAAAGAAGGUAUGGAAUUUGACUGCUGGGGUGGUGAGGAGGAUCUGAGAGGUUAGGGAGAGUAAUUUACUGUAUGAAAAAUAUUUUCAAUUUUUUUUCAAAAUACAGAGCAGAUAACUCUACAAAUGAAUCCUAUAGUGAAAUUUUAUAUUCAACGUAAGUUCAUAACAAUUGCAUGGCUUCUCAGAAUAGGCAAUUAAAACUUUGUAGCAUAUGCAAAUGAAUCAGACAUGACCAAGUAUCAAAAGAAGCUAUCAAUUCCCACCUAAGGUUCAAACUCAUAAAUGUCUCCAGUAGCAAUUAUCUUAUCACACCCAAACAGUCCUCUGUUGGACCUGACAUUAACACAGGCCAACAGCAAGAGUUGUAAAGAACGCAAAGGUGAAAUGUCAGGUGUGCAAGAGGAUGCAGGCGUGAGCACAGAGGAGCCGGUGUGCAUCUGUGGGGGACCAGAGACUUUGUCAGAAAGAAGAAAAGAAGAAAAAAACCCAAAAGUAUAGGUAAAGGCCUUGACAAGGACACCCCCCCCCAACAAACACACACAUAUACACACAUGUAUACACACAUGGGGGGGAUGAAGAACAGCAUUGACCACACUAACUUCCAAUCUUAAAGCAGGGGAGGCUUUGAAAUCCUAGACCCCAACACAACAAGAGGUAACAGCCUUCACUUUUCCACAGCCUUGAGUCAAAAAGUAAAGUCUAGCACAGCACAGAACAGCCCUGUAUCUGAAAUGACUGGCAUGGAUCACCGUGGGAGUUCCCAGGAAGGCGAUGAGGAGGCUGUGUCUUCAGGGUACAGACUGUGGGCCUCGUGGCCUGCAUCACUGUUACCUCACUAGGAGAUCUGAGGUCUUGACAUCUGCCACACCACUGUCUAUUCUUCUGGAGACAGCCCACAUAGCUUGGUCAGCCGAGCACAGGCUGGAAGAGCCCCUCUCCUAGGAGUCCAGGACAGCACUCUACACUGCUCCUCUUAGCAGGCAUGCUCCCUGUGCUCAUCCACAGUUCUCGUCCACUUCACAGAGCACAGCUCCAUGACCGCCUGUACUGUGCAAGCAGGAAAGAGCAAAGGCAAAGCCCUGGACUCUGUGAGCAAGGAUGUGGGAACCUAACUCUACAAAGGGAAAGGAGCGCCGGUCAUGUGUAACUCAGCCUCAUGUGUGCUUCAAACCUGCUUUCUCCCUUUGCCAAAUCCAGUCUUCUCUGAACUGUCUACGAAAGCCACCCUGAGAGCAGAAAUUUGCAAAGCCCACCCGUUUGGGAAGCACACCCCACACACGCCUAAUAGUGUGCAUAUGUGCUCUCUCAGGACAGUCUGGUACUAUAAUACUCGUCAGCGUAUGCAGAGGACACACACACACACGUGCACACACGUGCACUCAUCUAUAUUUUUCUCCAAAUAAAAUUCCCUUUCCAGACAGUAUUAUCUUGUGUAUUUGCACAGUCACAGGCAUACAGCAGCCCCAGCUGCAGGACUGACAAUAAAUGAUUAUAUUGUUAAAGUGUUAGAUCAGCACGGAAGCAUUGAUAAAUACACUCUGAGAUUUUUCACCAGAUUACUCUUUUACUAUUGAUGUCAAUACUGAGCCUGAGACUCCAGAGACUGUUUUCUUGAGGAAGCCCAGCGGACUGGGCUAUAAUGACAACAGGGCCAGUACAGAGCAGCCAGACUCAGACUCCCAUCUAGCUGUUCCAUUUCCUGUCUCUCGGUUUCUUACCUAGUGCAUGAGAUGUCUUUGGCAAGUACACCAAAGGGUGAUGGGGAAAAUAUGGCAUGCCAAGUUAUCAGGGAGAGAGAGAACUUGCCAAAGAUUAAAUUUUGAUAGCUUCUUUCACCAGCUUAUUUCUGACCCCUAACCUUCUCUCUCUCUCUCUCUCUCUCUCUCUCUCUCUCUCUCUCUCUCUCUCUCACACACACACACACACACACACACACACACACACACACACACACCCCUACCUACAGGAGAAAGCUGUGUAAGCGCCACACUCUACUACCUGCCUUUUUCCCAGCAGAACUGCAAGCUUCACCCUCAUGCAGGCCCUACCCAGGGAGCAGAGGGCUCAGACUCCCUCCUACAGGAAGUGGUUCUGCAGAAGCCCCUCCUCCCUGGCCUCCUGUGCCCCUCUAACUCCAAGCCACCCAAAAAGCAACCUUCUAUUGUGGUGUGCCAGGACCCAACUUACUUUAGCCCCUCUCCAAAAGUAAAUAAUAUUUUUACUUUAGAAAAGAAGCAAGUUUCUUAGUCUCACUUACUUUGUAUUUGACAUUGUACAGACAUUUUAAUGUCCAUGAGCUAAUGAAUAUUUCAGAUCAUACAGAGAUAUACCUUAAAAUUAAUUUUAGCCUUAUCCUAAACUGAAAACAGCUUAAGUUGAAAAUGCGUCUAACAAAAACAAAAGAAAAAGGCAUACAGUGGGAGGGAUGUUGUUGGAAAAAGAGAGGGUUGGCUGGCUGGUAGGGGAGUAAGAUGGUAGGAGGGGGUUGGGGAUUUAGCUCAGUGGUAGAGCGCUUGCCUAGCAAGCGCAAGGCCCUGGGUUCGGUUCCCAGCUCUGAAAAAAAAAAAAAAGAAAGAAAAGAAAAAAAGAAGAUGGGUGGGAGGUAUGUGGGUUGAUUGCAUUAUAUAAAUUAUAUAAAUAUGCAACCACCAAGGAACAAAUUUAAUUUUAAAAUGAGCUUAAACAAUAGGGGUGAGUUCAGUAGUGGGGUACUGCCUAAUAUGCACAAGGCAUUCAAUUCCCAGUACAAAAAGAAAGAGAAGAAAAUGAAGAGAAAAUGUGUUUACUACCCUGACUAAUGAGUACUCUGCCUUCUCAGCCAGCACACUACAGGGUCCACUGUGUCCUUCCAGAACUCACUGCCAUGGCUGGCAGUGAUCACAUGAGCGCAUCCUAAGAAAAGACCCAGCAACCAGCAACAGCCUCUACCAAAAAUAAGCAUUGUUUGUUUGCUUGUUUGUUUGUUGAGACGGUGUCGCACUAAGUUAUGCAGACUAGCGGAGGAAUCCUUAAGCUGAGCUUCCGGAAUUAGCUGCAACUGUACGCGCAGUCCAAUCACCAAUCACAGCUCCAGAGGCUUCUACUAAAUGUGUGUCAAUUGACACAAUUGUAAAGCUAGGAAACCGUAAAUUAAUCCAGAAGUUUAGGACUCAUUAACAAAUUUCUGGGCUCCUAUUAGCUGUCUAAGUAAGGCAGCUAUUAGUCUGUCUGCUGCCUGUAUAUAAAUGGGAACACGGUUCUCUCUAGACAGGAAACUCCUACAGGCAAACCUCCUAAUGCCCACCUUGGCAGGCGUCCUACCCUGAUUGCUCUGCCUGCAUCAGAAAAACAGCAUGAAGUCUACUCUUCAGAAAGCUCAAAUUCUAAGAGAGUGAGGCCAACAUACUCAAGUUCCACACUUUCUCCAUGACUCUGGGAGAGCACACUCCCAAAAGCUACAGUUAAUGUGCUCCGUCUAAAUCCCCACCUCAUUAAAGUCUCCACAACACUCAGCAGCUCCUAUGUGAGCCUAGGGAGUUACCUGUGCCAGCCCAGAGUUCUGGUCAUUUGUAGGCAGGAAACAAGCACUGAUCUCAAGGAGCCCGAGAAACUGAUCAUCUGUGCAAAUGUCACCUUAGGAUGACUGGCCAAACGUGUCCCUCUGAACAACAUUUACAGUGAACCUGUUUGAUUUUUUAAGACAUCUCCAACCUCGAAGGCAUGUGCCUAAAGUAUCUUUUCCUAUUACAACAGCGCUGAAGACUCCCUGUCACCCAACAAUAUCACAGCUGAAAGCAUCAUUCCUACUGGGAGGACAGUGCCACUGAGUUGAGAACCUGGUGCAUAGAGGCAAAAGCAGAUACUACAGAGCAUGUAAUAAUAACACUACAAACAAGGUCACUGUUUACACAUACACACACACACACACACACACACACACACACACACACACACACACACACACACUCUGUCUCUCUCCCUGCUGUAGAGAGGCCUCAGGCAGGGCCUCAGGAGAGAUCCUGAAGAAGGCACUGCCAUCACAAGAGGUGACAGCUCCAAGAAAGCCAGCUCUCAGCAAAGAUCCCUGAAGCCCUCUAUGGGGACAAGGUAGAGACGUAGAA